rnacentral:lncRNA from 1 species
GCGACUCUUCUUUGGUAACGUGGUUCUCUGGUAUCGUGGUAUUCGGGUAGAUCUACAGUUGGUUCUGUAUAGGUUUUGUGGUACGUUGUGGUAUUCUGAUAGAUCUUAGUUUGGUUCCGUUUAGGUUUUUGUAAGAAUAACAGACUCGUCGAAUAAAAAUCAACUUGUAUUUUAUACGUGCAAUAAAUAUCAGCAAUUCGUAGACAUAAUAAAUAACUUAAGUAACAGUAUUCUUGUUUAACAAAUAAAUACCUUACUUUAUUAGAAUAUCGUAAAGAAAAUGGAUAGCGGAACUAUAAUACAUAAAUACCUAGAAAGUUUACGAACAAGAUAGUUUGGUAAUCGGCAAAUGGUAACGGAAAUUCAAUGUCAAAACUGAUAACGUUUCUCUCGAGAAGUAAUUCUCUAAAUACAACUUGUUAUGGAACUAACAAGCCAACAUUAUACGGAAAUAGUCUGGUUAUUUCUGGUUAUUCAAUCGCUUGGAAUUAGCGAGUGUCACUUGCCCAGGGUAAAGUCGUACUGAAGCCUUUUUGGCUUACUCCACUGUAUUUAUACUUUGGUAAACCAUUACCAAAAUGGUUUAACAUUUACCAUUUCGGCUUACCAUUUCCGCUUACCAUUUACCUAAAUUACCAAACCCAGAGCCGACGUCAUAGAAAAAUUAGGUUAUGACGUCAUUGGUGUACUUAAAAUGAAGUAAACAAUUCACAGCUGUUCCGAUAUAGUAAAAACAUGGACGUUAAGAAUAAUAAAAAGUUAACAAUGUUUACACAAAGUUGUACAAGAAAUUUAAAAUAAACACAGUCAUUUAACGGUAAGGUUUUAACAACAUCAUCA